GAGCGGUAGCCAGAGAGCUUGCUCUCGGGUGACGAGCGGCGGACGGGUGAGUAAUGUCUGGGAAACUGCCUGAUGGAGGGGGAUAACUACUGGAAACGGUAGCUAAUACCGCAUAACGUCGCAAGACCAAAGUGGGGGACCUUCGGGCCUCAUGCCAUCAGAUGUGCCCAGAUGGGAUUAGCUAGUAGGUGGGGUAACGGCUCACCUAGGCGACGAUCCCUAGCUGGUCUGAGAGGAUGACCAGCCACACUGGAACUGAGACACGGUCCAGACUCCUACGGGAGGCAGCAGUGGGGAAUAUUGCACAAUGGGCGCAAGCCUGAUGCAGCCAUGCCGCGUGUGUGAAGAAGGCCUUCGGGUUGUAAAGCACUUUCAGCGGGGAGGAAGGCGGUGAGGUUAAUAACCUUGUCGAUUGACGUUACCCGCAGAAGAAGCACCGGCUAACUCCGUGCCAGCAGCCGCGGUAAUACGGAGGGUGCAAGCGUUAAUCGGAAUUACUGGGCGUAAAGCGCACGCAGGCGGUCUGUCAAGUCGGAUGUGAAAUCCCCGGGCUCAACCUGGGAACUGCAUUCGAAACUGGCAGGCUAGAGUCUUGUAGAGGGGGGUAGAAUUCCAGGUGUAGCGGUGAAAUGCGUAGAGAUCUGGAGGAAUACCGGUGGCGAAGGCGGCCCCCUGGACAAAGACUGACGCUCAGGUGCGAAAGCGUGGGGAGCAAACAGGAUUAGAUACCCUGGUAGUCCACGCCGUAAACGAUGUCGAUUUGGAGGUUGUGCCCUUGAGGCGUGGCUUCCGGAGCUAACGCGUUAAAUCGACCGCCUGGGGAGUACGGCCGCAAGGUUAAAACUCAAAUGAAUUGACGGGGGCCCGCACAAGCGGUGGAGCAUGUGGUUUAAUUCGAUGCAACGCGAAGAACCUUACCUGGUCUUGACAUCCACAGAACUUUCCAGAGAUGGAUUGGUGCCUUCGGGAACUGUGAGACAGGUGCUGCAUGGCUGUCGUCAGCUCGUGUUGUGAAAUGUUGGGUUAAGUCCCGCAACGAGCGCAACCCUUAUCCUUUGUUGCCAGCGGUUAGGCCGGGAACUCAAAGGAGACUGCCAGUGAUAAACUGGAGGAAGGUGGGGAUGACGUCAAGUCAUCAUGGCCCUUACGACCAGGGCUACACACGUGCUACAAUGGCAUAUACAAAGAGAAGCGACCUCGCGAGAGCAAGCGGACCUCAUAAAGUAUGUCGUAGUCCGGAUUGGAGUCUGCAACUCGACUCCAUGAAGUCGGAAUCGCUAGUAAUCGUAGAUCAGAAUGCUACGGUGAAUACGUUCCCGGGCCUUGUACACACCGCCCGUCACACCAUGGGAGUGGGUUGCAAAAGAAGUAGGUAGC
rnacentral:rRNA from 1 species